rnacentral:rRNA from 1 species
UAUUGGUCAAUGGGCUUACGCCUGACCCAGCCAAGUCGCGUGAGGGAAGACUGCCCUACGGGUUGUAAACCUCUUUUGUCAGGGAGCAAUGGGCGCUACGUGUAGCGUUAUCGAGAGUACCUGAAGAAAAAGCAUAGGCAAACUCCGUGCCAGCAGUCGCGGUAAUGCGGAGGAUGCGAGCGUUAUCCGGAUUUAUUGGGUUUAAAGGGUGCGUAGGCGGAAUGCCAAGUCAGCGGUAAAAUCGCGGGGCUCAACCUCGCUCCGCCGUUGAAACUGGCGUUCUUGAGUGGGCGAGAAGUAUGCGGAAUGCGUGGUGUAGCGGUGAAAUGCAUAGAUAUCACGCAGAACUCCGAUUGCGAAGGCAGCAUACCGGCGCCCAACUGACGCUGAAGCACGAAAGCGUGGGUAUCG